rnacentral:rRNA from 1 species
GAUGAACGCUGGCGGCGUGCCUAAUACAUGCAAGUCGAGCGAACAGACGAGGAGCUUGCUCCUGUGACGUUAGCGGCGGACGGGUGAGUAACACGUAGGUAACCUACCUAUAAGACUGGGAUAACUUCGGGAAACCGGAGCUAAUACCGGAUAAUAUUUCGAACCGCAUGGUUCGAUAGUGAAAGAUGGCUUUGCUAUCACUUAUAGAUGGACCUGCGCCGUAUUAGCUAGUUGGUAAGGUAACGGCUUACCAAGGCAACGAUACGUAGCCGACCUGAGAGGGUGAUCGGCCACACCGGAACUGAGACACGGUCCAGACUCCUACGGGAGGCAGCAGUAGGGAAUCUUCCGCAAUGGGCGAAAGCCUGACGGAGCAACGCCGCGUGAGUGAUGAAGGUCUUCGGAUCGUAAAACUCUGUUAUUAGGGAAGAACAAACGUGUAAGUAACUGUGCACGUCUUGACGGUACCUAAUCAGAAAGCCACGGCUAACUACGUG